GGUGUCGUUGUGCCUCCGUCUCCACAUGCAGCUUUCGACCCCCGCCACAGUGACCACCACGGGCACCUGAGCGAUCAGCCCCACAAGCCCUGCUGGCCAAAACCCAAUUCUUCCCUCUGCCGUUCCUCUUCCAGCCCCCUCUCCAGAAGGCGGCCCCACACCACCCCCUGGGCCCGGUUGGCCGUGGCUGGAAGCUCUAAACGCGGCCUUCCCAGGAUCCGAGGCCGGCCUCCACCUCCACCUAGCUUUGUGCCCUGAACCCAGGUGCUUCCCAUUCGAGGCUCAGCUUCCCCACUUGUAAAGUGGAAGCUAACAGCACCCACCCUGCAGGAUUACUGAGGGAACAAAGGCCGCCUGGGCCCGAUGUUGUUACUGGCAAUGUGUCUCCCCAUUCAGUUCCCUCUGUAGCACUACAUGGUGGGAGGUGCCGUUCCUAAUUUGCGGACAAGGAGCCGUGCUCGGGCAGGCCAAGUCCCACAGCAAGCCACACAGCACAUCUGUCUGUGCUGAAGUGCCCUGCACUGCAUGGGCACUGAUUAAACACCUACUGUGUUCCCGGCUCAUCAGAUGCGCAGAGUGGCAAGCAGCGACUUCCAUCCCCGAUCAGUAGCUACGACAUGGGCCCCUAUAUACGCCUAGCAGUGUCUGCCUGCAAAGUCUUCGUUGUCUCUGGCAAAGCCACAAAUCUUCCCUACCAGAGUGACUUUCUGAAACGCAAGUCUGACGAAGCCCCUCUCCCUAAAACCCUUCAGUGGCUCCCACUGCUUUCAGGAGGGAGUCAGGAUACUUUCAGGAUGGAGUCAGGAUAGAAAAACGACCUCACCCACCGUGCACACGCAAUAAAUGAAUCCAAACUCCCCCCAAACAUGCAUGGCUUUCUCGUGCUCUGUGGCUACACAGAUGCUGUUCCCUCUGCCUGGAAGGCCUUUCCUCCUUAGUUUGCCUGGCAGAUCUCUAUUUAUUCUUCCAGACCCAGUUCAAAGUUCUCCUUUGUUGGACCUUUAGGGGAAAUGGCUUCUCCUCCCUUUUACGCCACCUUUGAACCAGCGUCCGGGCCCCACGGGAUCAUCUUGUAGGUACCCACCAGCCAAGGACUACCAGGACCGGUGCCUGUGGUAAGGUUUAUCAACGGGCUGCAAUUAGGGGGAGGGCCCAAUGUGGGGAACUGGAGGGGUCUCCAUGAGGGGCGUUAGGAAGGACUUUCGGCAGAAUUUGUACUUGCCUUAGGUACUUAGGGAAGUUCAAGGUAGUGGCACUUUACUGAGGCCCUCCUUUUUAUUGGACACUCAGGGGGCGCCUGGGUGGCUCAGUCACUUAGGCGUCUGACUUCGGCUCAGGUCAUGAUCUCACAGUUUGUGGGUUCAAACCCCACAUCGGGCUCUGUGCUGACAGCUGGGAGCCUGAAGCGGCUUCGGAUUCUGUGUCUCCCUCUCUCUCUGCCCCUCCCCCACUAGCACUGUCUCUUUCUUUCAAAAAUAAAUAAAACUUUAAAAAAAAGGAAAAAGACCUUAGGGGUCAAUAUGAAAGUGGAGUGCACUCUGCAGACAGGCAGGAACAAUUUUUAAAUCCUCCAUCAGUCCCUUGUGCCACUAGGGAUGGGCCAACUCUCUGAAAUGUAAACAUAACGAAAGCUCAGAUAUCCACAUUGAAGCCGUCUUCAGGCACGGGGCCACCAGUUUGCAAACGUCACUCUUUUCAAGGCGCCCUCCACUUUCUUUGGGCUCUCGGCCACUCCCUAUACCUUCAAAUAGUACCUGUAUCUGUAGCUUAGCUAUAAUCUAUCUAUACAUAUAUGCACGUGUAUAUAUACACAUAUGUGUGUAUGUGUAUAUGCAGACACUUGUGUAUUCUAUAUACACGUGUAUAUCUCAGAUUUUAUAAUGUAUAUUCCAGAUUACAUGUGAUGUAUGGUGUUAAAUAACAAAACUUCAAACCUAGUAGAAUUUAAAGAUAUAA